CCUGCUUCCUGCUGAGGUUUCCUAUCAGUUGGAUUAGACAGAGGCCACGUUCUUUUCUCCCCACAGGGGGUGUAAAGCUUGGUCUGGGAGACUUCAUCUUCUACAGCGUUCUGGUGGGCAAGGCAGCAGCCACAGGCUUGCCCGUCAGAGCAUCUGUGGCACCCGCAGGUGGGAUGCUGGGCCAACAAGCCUAUCUUCAGGGAUGAGGUCACGUGUGUGGAUCAGGUUGGAGAGGACGCAGGCCCCAUCCAGGUCUGUAAUCAAUCCUUCAGGGCUGAGCAGGAGGAACAUGUGCGUCAGUGGGGACCAGGAGGCACGGUCAGGAAGGACGCUAAGCACCAACACCCUGACCAGAGGACAAAAGCCAGUUUGUCGUCAUGAAUGCCCCCAGUGCUUUGUUUGUGAUGUCUGUUACCUUUAGUAUCUUAGAAGCUGAGUCCUGUUCUUAUUUCUGCAGUGGACUGCUGGGAAGUGGCUUAAUGACAAUACCAAUACAUAGAUGUCCCUGCUGG
rnacentral:lncRNA from 1 species